CUGUAGCUCACCAGGCUUCUCUGUCCAUGGGAUUUCCCAAACAAGAAUACUGGAAUGGGUUGCCAUGUCCUUCUCCAAGGAAACUUCCCAAUCCAGGGAUCAAACUUGAUAUUCCUGCUUGGCAGGCAGAUUCUUUACCCCUGAGCCACCAAGGAAGCCCACAAAAUGGUUUUAGUUGACAUUAAAUAUUAAUAAAUCUCAUUAAGAGAUUAAUAAAUCUCAUCAUGCCAGGGCUAAGCUGCCAAAAAAAGCUAAUGUGAUUUCAGGUUGUAUUAAUAUGAGUAUCGUGGCUGAAACAAGGGAGGUGCCCCUGGUGCAAAGGCCACAUUGUCAGAGGCAGGCCACCAAGAAGAGCAAGCCUGGAGGGGAAGAGUAGGACGGUAUGGGCUUUCGGAACCCUGAUGUAUUAGGAAGUCCAGGGUUUUGGUCUGCAGAGGGAAGCCAGAAAGUACUUCACAAGCGUGACGGCACGACCCAUGACAGAGACAGCUGGUUUCUGCCAUGUGAAUCUGGACGUGGCUGGAGCGUUGCUGCAGAGGACAAGGAAGAACUGUGUGGGGAUUCCUACUGCUGGGCCCUCAUCCUCAACUUGCCUCAAGACAGCACCCACUGAAGGGAGAGCUAGCCAGCAGGUCCCAAGACCCAGGAGAUGGCACCCAAACCUCUUCCCUCCAGUGUCCACGUGCUGCUCAUCCACCAAACCCUCGUCUUUCCACCUCAAGUUCUCCCAGGCUUUCCUCCUCCAGUUUCCAGGCUUUGUACCUGCUCCCACCCCCCACAUUCCUCAUUCCCCGCCACCUUUUCUUUCCAGCUGAGAAAGAGAGAAGCCUGGAAUCUGGACUCAGGCCUACCCUGCCUCUCCUCCUGGGGAUCCAUGUGGUCUGUUACCAAUAAGCCUGAAAUGGUCAGGGCUAACAUCAGCUUCCACUUCUUUCUUCCACUAGGUUAUUUAAGCUUCCCAUGACCUCUUGCUUUUGAUAAAGAAGCAGUUUUCAUUUGUGGAGAAUUGACAAGGAAAUCCCAGGUGGGAACCCUAUACACAAUAAAUGCUCUAGCCACCAAUCCGGAUACUUGCCCUUCAUAGACUCGAUGAUCUGAUUGCUAUCUGUGUUCUGGUUCCUUUCCUGCUAAGCUGAAUGGGGUUGCCUGGGGAACAAUUCUCAGGUCCCGGUUUUGAGCAAGGGGUCAUUUCCCGCAGGCAAUCUGGACACUCCAGAAGCCAGCCGGGCUGGGGGUGUGGCGGUGCAGCUCUGCUAGGCCCUGGCCAAUCUCACCCCGCUGACAGGGGCAGGGGGCUGGUCUGAGGGCGG
ensembl:lncRNA